GGAGCAGCUUCAGCCCAGACCCCCAGGGCAGGUGCUGCUCCAGCCCUGAAGCAUCCCACAACCAUGGCUGGCAGAUGCCAAGGGGAUAUGUGAGAUGGCCCAGCUCCAGGAUGAAACUCAACUUGAGGGAAGCUGGGGAGAGCCUCACAGCACUGGACAAGCCAUCGGAUGGCACUGCCCCCAGGGACACACCCAGGGGCGUGGAUAGGGAUACGGAAGACCUAAGGCAAAGGGUGGCUUCAGACAUGACAGCAGAUCAGCCGCUGGGGAAAUGCCAGAGGGGAUUUGACAGCUGGGCCAGGUGUUCCAGGACAGCACUUUCCAAAAGAUUUUCCAUCCAAACUUCCAGCAAGAAGUAGAUCUUCCAUCGUUACCCAGAGCAUAUCUACUCAUUCAGAUGAAGAAAACAACUCUUUGACAUGCAUUAUCUCCCAACACCAACCUCAAUCCAGCCCUGGAAAGUGAGCAGAGCCAGCAGCAUUUCCAGCCCUACCUCUGGAGGAAGGAGAGGAACCUGAGACUCUUGGGUGACCUGAGGUGUCUCUGGCAGCACCAGCAAAAGAGCCUGGCCCUGGCCGCCCAGCAUAGGUGCUCAGUCCCUCCUGACUGCCACUGCUCCCUCAACACCAAAGCACAGGGUCCUGAGAUGUUGGGAGAGGGUGGGGGAUGCUGGGCUGGGAGAGGGCCUGGGGGCCUGUCAGAAGCCAUGACAUGAUGCACUCACCGCUCGGGAGGAAGCUACUGGCCUUUGAGUGAAAUCGGUAAGUAUGAACUCUGGAGAUGUAUCGUACAACAUGGAGUCUACAGUUAAUAAAUGUAUUGUAUACUGGAAAAUUGCUAAGAUUAGAUCUUCCAUGUUCUCACUACAAAAGCAUAAGUAUGUGAGGUGACGGAUGUGUGUGUCAGCUUGAUUUAAUCGUUUUGCAAUGUGGCAAAGCAUCGCAUUGUAGGUGGUAAAUAUAUACAGUUUUGUCAAUUACACCUUCAGGAAGCUGGGGUGGUUGGUGUGUGUGUGUGUCUGUGUGAUGUGAGGUCCGUGAGGUGCUGAACAUGGUGCAUUAAACAGCAUUUUCAUUCUUA
rnacentral:lncRNA from 1 species